rnacentral:rRNA from 1 species
GAUGAACGCUGGCGGCGUGCCUAACACAUGCAAGUCGAACGAGGUCCAUCCUUCGGGAGAAGACCUAGUGGCGAACGGGUGAGUAACACGUGAAGAACCUGCCCCGAAGACCGGGAUAACCCUCCGAAAGGAGAGCUAAUACCGGAUACCCCCACCGAACCGCAUGGUUUGGUGAGGAAAUGGAUUCCGCUUCGGGAGGGCUUCGCGGCCUAUCAGCUAGUUGGUGGGGUAACGGCCCACCAAGGCAUCGACGGGUAGCUGGUCUGAGAGGACGAUCAGCCACACUGGGACUGAGACACGGCCCAGACUCCUACGGGAGGCAGCAGUGGGGAAUCUUGCGCAAUGGGCGAAAGCCUGACGCAGCAACGCCGCGUGGGGGAUGAAGGCUCUCGGGUUGUAAACCCCUUUCAGCAGGGACGAAUCAAGACGGUACCUGCAGAAGAAGCCCCGGCUAACUACGUGCCAGCAGCCGCGGUAAU